rnacentral:rRNA from 1 species
UACGUAGGGUGCGAGCGUUGUCCGGAAUUAGUGGGCGUAAAGGGCUCGUAGGCGGUUUGUCGCGUCGGGAGUGAAAACCUUGGGCUUAACUCAGGGCUUGCUUUCGAUACGGGCAGACUAGAGGUAUGCAGGGGAGAACGGAAUUCCUGGUGUAGCGGUGAAAUGCGCAGAUAUCAGGAGGAACACCCGUGGCGAAAGCGGCUCUCUGGGACGGUACUGACGCUGAGACGCGAAAGCGUGGGGAGCAAACAGG